rnacentral:misc_RNA from 1 species
GAUGAAGAACGUAGCGAAAUGCGAUACGUAAUGUGAAUUGCAGAAUUCAGUGAAUCAUCGAAUCUUUGAACGCAUAUUGCGCUCUCUGGUAUUCCGGAGAGCAUGCUUGUUUGAGUAUCAGUAAACACCUCAACUUCCAUAUCUUUUUUGAAAUGGGAGUUGGACUUGAGUGAUCCCAACGCUUUUCCUCACCGAAAAGUGGCGGGUUACUUGAAAUGCAGGUGCAGCUGGACUUUUCUCUGAGCUAUAAGCAUAUCUAUUUAGUCUGCCUAAAAAACAGAUUAUUACCUUUGCUGCAGCUAACAUAAAGGAGAUUAGUUCUUGUGCUGACUGNNNNAGGAUUCACAAAGACAGGCUUCGGCCGACUUUGUAAACUCGAUCUCAAAUCAAGUAAGACUACCCGCUGAACUUAAGCAUAUCAAUAAGCGGAGGA